GUGCAGCAGGCGCGAAAGCGCGACGAGGGGAUUCCAAGUGCAUGCACUAAGUGUAUGCUUUUCGUGAGUUUAAAACGCUCACGGAAUAAGGGCUGGGUAAGACUGGUGCCAGCCGCCGCGGUAAUACCAGCGGCCCUAGUGGUGAUCGUUAUUAUUGGGCCUAAAGCGUCCGUAGCCGGUCCGGUAAAUCUCUGGGUAAAUCGUUGGGCUUAAACUCAGCGAAUUCUGGGGGAGACUGCUGGACUUGGGACCGGGAGAGGUCGGAGGUACUCCAGGGGUAGGGGUGAAAUCCUGUAAUCCUUGGGGGACCACCGGUGGCGAAGGCGUCCGACCAGAACGGGUCCGACGGUAAGGGACGAAGCCCUGGGGCGCGAACCGGAUUAGAUACCCCUGUAGU
rnacentral:rRNA from 1 species